rnacentral:rRNA from 1 species
AGAGUUUGAUCCUGGCUCAGGAUGAACGCUAGCGACAGGCCUAACACAUGCAAGUCGAGGGGCAGCGGAGAGGUAGCAAUACCUUUGCCGGCGACCGGCGCACGGGUGAGUAACACGUAUGCAAUCCACCUGUAACAGGGGGAUAACCCGGAGAAAUCCGGACUAAUACCCCAUAAUAUGGGCGCUCCGCAUGGAGAGCCCAUUAAAGAGAGCAAUUUUGGUUACAGACGAGCAUGCGCUCCAUUAGCCAGUUGGCGGGGUAACGGCCCACCAAGGCGACGAUGGAUAGGGGUUCUGAGAGGAAGGUCCCCCACAUUGGAACUGAGACACGGUCCAAACUCCUACGGGAGGCAGCAGUGAGGAAUAUUGGUCAAUGGUCGGCAGACUGAACCAGCCAAGUCGCGUGAGGGAAGACGGCCCUACGGGUUGUAAACCUCUUUUGUCGGAGAGUAAAGUACGCUACGUGUAGUGUAUUGCAAGUAUCCGAAGAAAAAGCAUCGGCUAACUCCGUGCCAGCAGCCGCGGUAAUACGGAGGAUGCGAGCGUUAUCCGGAUUUAUUGGGUUUAAAGGGUGCGUAGGUGGUGAUUUAAGUCAGCGGUGAAAGUUUGUGGCUCAACCAUAAAAUUGCCGUUGAAACUGGGUUACUUGAGUGUGUUUGAGGUAGGCGGAAUGCGUGGUGUAGCGGUGAAAUGCAUAGAUAUCACGCAGAACUCCGAUUGCGAAGGCAGCUUACUAAACCAUAACUGACACUGAAGCACGAAAGCGUGGGGAUCAAACAGGAUUAGAUACCCUGGUAGUCCACGCAGUAAACGAUGAUUACUAGGAGUUUGCGAUACAAUGUAAGCUCUACAGCGAAAGCGUUAAGUAAUCCACCUGGGGAGUACGCCGGCAACGGUGAAACUCAAAGGAAUUGACGGGGGCCCG